rnacentral:rRNA from 1 species
UACGUAGGGUGCAAGCGUUGUCCGGAAUUAUUGGGCGUAAAGAGCUCGUAGGCGGUUUGUCGCGUCGAAUGUGAAAACCCGGGGCUCAACCCCGAGCCUGCAUUCGAUACGGGCAGACUAGAGUUCGGUAGGGGAGUCUGGAAUUCCUGGUGUAGCGGUGAAAUGCGCAGAUAUCAGGAGGAACACCGGUGGCGAAGGCGGGACUCUGGGCCGAUACUGACGCUGAGGAGCGAAAGCGUGGGGAGCAAACAGG